rnacentral:rRNA from 1 species
CANACCGCCCGUCANACCAUGGGAGUCGAUUGCUCCCAGAAAGUGGCUGCGCCAACCCGCAAGGGAGGCAGGUCCCCAAGGAGUGGUUGGUAACUGGGGUG